UCCUCUUUCCUUGUUCACGUCAGAAUCGGGCUGAGAGAAAGGAACCUUGUUCAGCUCCACCCUUCCACGUUGCCAGCAUGCAUAUGGCAACUCUUCCAAGAACAUCACCUCAGACCUUCAAAAGGGAGAACCAGGCCAGAGAUCGUCAUCCACCCUUCUCUUCUCACCUUUCCUCUCGACCCUGGACACAUCAGUCUGUUUGCGAGCCUCGAAACUCCUAGUUAGGGACCUCCGAUCAAAAAACUUUCUUCAACAACGUUGUUAGCCUAUGUCUCCUCUAUCUAGCCUCCAAAUUUCAACUCCAUCGGAGUCAAUUUGAGUCUUGUUCACCCCUCGAAGUGGAAGCUGUUCUGAAACGGGCCUGUUCCGGAUUUCUGCUUGAAUUUCCUCUCUUGCUCUAUCCGAAUCCCUCACAUCUUACUUGAGACUGGUACAAACACUUGAUUGAGCGAACUUCUUGGCCUGUGGCUGGACUCGAUCCAAUCAGCUCCCUCAGCUCUCUUUCCUGUUGAAAUCCUCAAGAGAAGCUCACCUUUUUGAUUAAUCUUUGGCUUGACAUCAUGGUGGAAUCUUGUGAAGUUGGUGGUUGCUACAAGGUUGCAUUGAGGCCAAGUGCUGCAAGAGAAUGCUCGAGUUCCAGGUAGGGGAUGCCUUUAACUCUAUCUAUGCUUUUCUUGCAUAUACUAUGUUUUAUAUGAGGCCUCUUGCAUGUUUUGGAAAUUAUCUGUUUUUUUUACAACUUGAAAUGGUUUGCGUGGAUUGGAUUGAUGUGUUGGCAAUUGAUGGGAAUGUAAGGAGAGGUCAGUUCCUCCUUGAGCCACCGGUGGUGGGCAGUGUGCACCAUGCCCUUGUUAUUGAAUUACCCCCUUUGUCUCUAGCCUUGUGAUUAUUGAAUUCCGGAAAGUGAUUGGCUAGAUGGACGGUUAUGAUGAAAGUUGUGGAAGAAGAUCAAUUGCCGUGGGAUUGUAGUUACGUGGUGACGAUCACGUGGAAUCGCAAACCGGUUUUUAUCUAUUACUUUUUCUCAAAACGAUAACUCAUAUUUUUAAACUUAGAUAUGGGGGCUGACAUGGGCAAUGACUGGAUGUAGGAGCCUAACCCCUA